UACGGGGGGGGCAAGCGUUGUUCGGAAUAACUGGGCGUAAAGGGCUCGUAGGCGGCCAACUAAGUCAGACGUGAAAUCCCUCGGCUUAACCGGGGAACUGCGUCUGAUACUGGAUGGCUUGAGUUCGGGAGAGGGAUGCGGAAUUCCAGGUGUAGCGGUGAAAUGCGUAGAUAUCUGGAGGAACACCGGUGGCGAAGGCGGCAUCCUGGACCGACACUGACGCUGAGGAGCGAAAGCCAGGGGAGCAAACGGG
rnacentral:rRNA from 1 species